rnacentral:lncRNA from 1 species
UCUACCUUUUGAAAAAUAGUAAUUAUAAAUAUAAAAUUUUGAACAAAGAAAGAUAACUCCAAAUCAAAAUAUAUAAUUUGCCUGAAUGUGUUCCAAUGCUAAACUACAAUAAAAUGUACAAAUCAAUGUUACAUGUAUAUGUUUAGCUUACAUUGCAAUAUGAAAGCAAUCUUAACCUUUUAUUCUGAUAAGAACUUUGUUAUUCUUUACAUAAAACUUUUAGUUUUCAAUAAGUUUGAUACGUUCAAGCUUUUAAUUUUCCAUGGAGUUCUUUAUUUUUGUUGUUUUACCUGUAAGUUUUCCUUUAUUUUCCUUUUAAUUGCCUUUACUAACGAUUAACAUUAUUGUAAAAAAACAUGAAUUUCAUAACGUACACAUCCAAUAAAAGAAAUGUUUGAUAUUUUUGAAAGAGAAAGGAACAAUUUACUAUAUAUAUUGCUAUCAAUACGAAAAAGUAGGCAAAACAAUUGUAAUUGAAGUUUUGUGUGUCAUGGUGCAAUAUUUUCUAGCUCAGUAUGCAUGUAACGAUGAUGUUUGUAGACUGUGGACAAUUUCUGUAUGUUCACAUAUUAAAUUGUAUCAUACAUUCCAAAGAUGUUUCAUUCAAACUUUGUCAUUUUAAAAACAGCAUUAUAUUUAAUAAAUGUUCAAUAUUGUUCUAUUACAACUUUUAUUUCUGAUGGAAACUUAUAGCUUUAAGGUGCUGAAGAAGAGAAGGGAAUUCCUGUCCAUGUUUUCAUAGAAGAGCCUGAAAAUGAGAUAUUGCAAAAUAAAUAGUUUUAAAGACUACAAACAUACUUUGUGAUGAAGAACAGUAAUAAAAAAGCUUUUCUAUUGCUUUGAGUAUUUUUUGGUCGUAUAUUGGUACAAUGUAUCACGUUGGCGUCGUCGUCUGAAUCAUUGUCGUUGUCGUCCGAAUACUUUUAGUUUUUGCACUCUAACUUUAGUAAAAAAGAAUACAAAUCUAUGAAAUUUUAACACAAGGUUUAUGACCAUAAAAGGAAGGUUGG